GGCCGGCCGGCCGGCGGAUUGGCCGGCGGCGGGCUCCGGCCCCGCUCCAGGAUGCGGGCCGGUGGUGGCCGGCGGCGGGCCG
rnacentral:tRNA from 1 species